rnacentral:lncRNA from 1 species
CCAGCAGAAUAAUCUUUCUGUGGAUCAGACGCCAUGUUCUUUUUAACCUCAAUCUUUAAUUGUUGGAUGGUUUGUUUUGAUAUUGGUUGUCAGAUUUCGGAUUGCUACUAUUAUACUGUGAAAUUAAUUUGCAGUGGAAAAUUGAGGUAUAAAAUAUUUCUAUUGGUUUCUUUAUUCUUAUAAUUUUUACAAGAGAAAUUGAAAAUGGAUUUACAACAGAAAGGCGUGAAAUUUUCGAAGUUCAAAGUUUUGUACUUUCCAGACCUGCACAACGAAUUACCUAUUUGAAAAAUAGAAUAUGGUUAGAAAUUGCUGAUGUAAUAGAGGAUUCAAGUACCAUUUACAAACAAAAUAUUGAAGAGAAUGUGCUCAAAGGAAAUGCAUAUGAAUUCUUUUUUGUUGACCAGGAUGGAACAAUUCUUUGGAACCUAUACUUAGAAUAAGUUAGUUAGGCCUAGUGAUGUACCAGCCAGAAGUAGAGGAUGACAAAGAAAAUCAACUAUGGAUAAUAUUCCAUGGAUAUGAUUCAUGUAUGAUGUAGUAGCCUACAGAAGAAAGAGAUGGACUAAUCUAAGAAAUAUAUUCAUUUUUUCAGUACAG